rnacentral:lncRNA from 1 species
GAUGUUAAGAAGACAUUACAUGAUCUGGUCCUAAAGGCUAUUAUAUUUGUUUUUCUUCAAAGAUAGUUGGAAUUCUCAGAUUUGAUCAUUUGUCCAUUCUUAUGACUCCAAAUAAGCCUUCCAGUCCUCAUCCCACUCCUUCUUCUUGAGAUCUUUCCGAUCUGUUUCUAUGUUUUUGCCCCUUUCAGAUACUCUAACAGAUAUGCCUUUUUCACCUGUAGUUAUAGAUCUAUGAGGCUUUGUAAUUUCU